AAACAAGCGUUGAGAGAUUUCUGGAAUGGUAUUCAAACAGUCCAUGUUGACUUAGCAUUUGCCUUUAAUGUCCCUUUAAAUGAGUUUGCUUGAUUAG
rnacentral:lncRNA from 1 species